UUGCCCAAAGCAAACCAAAAAGUUAAAACCAUGAAGACAUUCCCAUAGAGAACAACCGGCUUCAGAACCAAUGUAACUUAAAGUGUUGGCAGUGGCGGUAUACCUCAUGAUCUCAGUGCGCCGGGCAGCUGAGACAGGGGCAAGGAAGAAAUUCCGAACUCCGCAGCAAUCUUGAAACAGUGAGGACAUAGAGACUCUAGCAAGUUCUCAGGAGGAGACCCACUUAGACUGUGCAUGCAAAUAUUCUACUGGGAGACCCUGCUCUUUAUAUUUGCCAUGAGUCAAAUGGGCAUAUCAAAAUGAGCCUCCCCCUUCCCCAGCUAAUAAAUAGUGAACGUUCCAUGCCA